UACGUAGGGUGCGAGCGUUAAUCGGAAUUACUGGGCGUAAAGCGCGCGCAGGCGGUCCUUUAAGUCGGAUGUGAAAGCCCUCGGCUCAACUGAGGAAGUGCACCCGAAACUGGCGAGCUUGAGUACGAAAGAGGAUCGCGGAAUUCCCGGUGUAGAGGUGAAAUUCGUAGAUAUCGGGAGGAACACCGGUGGCGAAGGCGGCGAUCUGGGUCGAUACUGACGCUGAGGUGCGAAAGCGUGGGGAGCAAACAGG
rnacentral:rRNA from 1 species